rnacentral:lncRNA from 1 species
UCAGUUCAAACCACAACAGAACGAUAAAACAAUAACUCCUCAACAAUGUCCAAAAACAAAAACUCAUAGCUUCAAUGAAAUUGCUGCGAUCAGCACAACACCGAAGGAUACUGUUGCAAUGGAUGCACCUGAACUAUCAACAGAUGCAUCUUCCUUGGACCCUGCAGGAGCUUUUGCUGGAACAUCUUUCUCGGGCUUUGAAGGUGCAGGAGCUGGUGCUGGUGCUGUACCAAAAAGAUCCAACGGCAGAAGGACCUGAUCCACCUGAUACACAACUAACUGGCCAUCGGUGUAUAUAGUGUUUGCCACGGUUGCAGUAUUAACCCCUGUUGUUAUGUUCACUUGAUUCCCCGAUGUUGUCACAUUGAGCGGGAACUCGCCAUCAGCACUAUUUCCGGCUUGAGUGCGCAAGGGAUUGCUGACAGUUUGGAAGUUUGACAUGGAAAGGAAAUUUGGAAGGAUGUGAAAUUGCACCAAUUGGACCUUUUGUUGGUCGCUGAGCGAAUUCAGUGUACCUGCUUUGAGGUUAGCAAAGGAAUUAUCAGUUGGUGCAAAGACUGUUAGGCCUUGGUUUGAAUUGUUGAGUUGUGUGUUGAUU